GCGCGUUCGCCGGUCGCUCUUUACACCGGACACCAGUUCUCCCGGGAAAGGAGCGGCAGGUAAGCCCGACUCCGGACAGGCGUUGGGCUGGACAGCAACCUCAGAAGGAAGAGGGAAAGUACCUGAUAGCUUCGUAGGUGCGCAAUAAAUAUCUGAUGACCGGCCGAAUAAAUGUGACCUUUGGACAGGUCGCUCGACAGUGUGUAUGCCCCAUCACAGGCCUCCAGACCUCCCAGCCACACAUUCCCUAAGCGCAAGCGACUGCAUAGCCCUACGUGUAUAUUUCUCCCCAAACGGGCGCCCUACUUUGGGCGAUUAUGUGACAUGUGUCACCCAGGACUCUAAUCCCCGCGGCCCCUAAAACUGCAGGCCAAGAGGGGCCAUUUCAGGCUUCCUCCCUUUUUUUGUUUUCGAAGAGAAAGAGGGAUGAGGUGGACAGGAGGUGUGGGGUGAGAGAGGCGUGAAGCGUCAAUGCGCUCCCGGGUGACCCGGCCGGCCAGCCGGCCGGGUCGUGGGGCAGCGGGCGGCUGUCACCCAGCGGGGCGCCCGGGGGUGCGGCCCUCGGCCAAAGCGAGAGACUGGACGCGCUGGCUUGUCCUGGACUGGCUGGCUGGCUGAUGCAAAAAGAAGAGGUGAGAGUGGGAAGUCCCAGCCCAAGGGGACUGUGUUUCCAAAGGGAGUGUGCUUUUUUUUUUUUUUAAUCCUUCUUUUUUCGAAAAUACCUGUCUUUAGUCAAGAUACAAGGGAGCCACGCGUCAUUCGGAUUCCCUCACUUCAUCCCUCGAACGGCCUGCGGGAAAUUUCCUAGGUCGUUUUCUUUUUUGUUUUUCCCUCCCCGAUUUUCCUCAACUAAAAAUCUUUCAGGCAUUUUCGCUGAAGGUGCUUUUGCCUUGCUGAUUUAAAAAUACAAACAAAAUCAGCGCUCCACGCAGCGGCGCCUCGCUGGCAGCUGACUCCGCAGGGCCUGGGGGCUCGCACCAGCGGGCAGAGCUUCCUCCGCAGAUCGCGGAUUCGCACCUGCGCUUCCUCCCCGCAUCCCAGCACCUUUCGGUUUCGGGGUGUUCAGUCCCAGGGAGGGCACCGACGAGAAAGAGCUGAGGUUCCCAGGGCGGCUUUGUAGGAUUCCCCGAGGGGAGGGUGGGCACUAUAGCGAUGACUUCAUCUCAGCCUGAAGGGACUCCAGCAGCUACUGCCUCUAAGAUGUUCUAUGGGGUGGGUGAUUAUUUCAGAUCUGUAUUAAUCGGGGGAAAUGUCUCCAUCAAACUGUGGAAAAGGAGAAAUGUUAUUAACAUACAAUCCCGAAGGUAACUGUUUGAAUUAAAGACGGAUUCUCUUGUGUCUUUCUCGCACUCCUUUUCUAUCUCAGCGGGACCCGGGAGGCUCCGGGGCAGAGAGCAUCUCCUGAUUCCUAGAACCUGUAGAUUCUUGGGGCCACAUCGGGCGUCCUUUCUGCUGCGGGUUGGGCUCCGCUGUGGAGCGGCGUGAGCGAGGCGCGAGGGCAGACGCGCGCAGCCUGGUCGCCUGCCCUCUGGUCGCUGCUCCCGAGGCAGCACCUUCUGCCCGGAGGGCCCCAGGAGGACCAAGCUCCUGGGGUCAGCCUCCAACUUGUGAGUGUCCGCGAGACUGACGUCUUAAGGCUGGGGGCUUUGGCUAUAGAGGGUUCUCGGAGAUGUGACGUCACAAAGACUGCAGCGGGUAGACGGACACGGAGCCUUGACAGCCCCGGGGUUUCGAGAAGUGAGGGGUCACAAGGAACCCGGGGAUCGCUGGGCUUCCGGCUUUGUCAUUGUUUAUUUCGAAUUAAUUUCGUGUUGUGCGUCUCUGUUUGCAAGCCCGCAGGAGAGACGCAGCGAAUACCCGAUUGAUUCCAUCCCCGGUUUGUUUGAAGGGAGGAGCAAGGGGCGCCUCUGGUGCUCUCACAGCCUUCAAUAGCUCCAAUAGACAGAUCACGGAUUUUGAGAACGCAGUUUUUUCCUUUUCUUUCCUUUUUUUUUUUUACUUUCUCUCUUUGACGUUUUUCUUCCAAGGCCCUUUCACUGAUGUAAAAGGACUAAGUGGACUCUUACGUCUCUUUUUUACCUGUCCCCAACUCCUGUUUUCUUUUUUUUUCUUGAUGAGUGUGAAAUUUGGCCUGGCAUAGGUGAAAGGGACCCUUUUUUUGGUCCCUCUCUUAAAUCAUUAAGACCCAGAAAAUUUCACAGUAUCUCUAUCACUAUCUUUAGGACAAAAUGUGUUUACAUCCAGUGGAAAAGGCGCAUUGUUUUCUUUCACGCUGAGCCCUAGGACUGGAACCUGCUUCUCCACCAGUUUCCAGGUUGGCUGAAAGAAAGGGUGUUGGAGACAUGCCUUUGGAGAAUAUUUGGAGUGAUGGAUAGAAAGCUUUCAGAUCGCAAUCUUUAUGCUUUUCUGGCCUGGAUUUACAAGUUUUGAGAAAACAAUCAAACCACAACCUGAAAUCAUUAUUAACAUAUCAGAGCCUCUGAACCCCCCCCCAGACCUUGCUACCCAAAUAUACAGUGAUCAUAAACAUUUUUUUCUUCCUGGUUUUCUUGCUUGCUUUUCUAAGCGCCCGGCACAGUCCUUUCACGGGUGAGCCUCUGUGUGGCUGACUGCUGAAUGCAUGGGGGGCGGGGAGGGCUGUGGGCAGGCGGCUCGGGGUGCAGAGGAGACAAUGGUGACCGGCUUUCCUCGGCAGCUCCUCUGAGGAGGCAUUUUGUCUUCUCUGCAAACGGUGCUGCUGUUUGUUUGGAGGAAGAGAGCCGUGGGUAUGGAAUUAGGGGGUGUCAUGUGGGCCGCACGUGUGGCUGGAGCUACCUGAAGUCUGCAGCCUAAUCACUCCCAGAUGGCCCCAGGGACCAUGGUCCCGGGAGCCCCAGAAGCCCAGAUCCGCCCCCCAGCGCCUCCUGGAGGGGGAAUUUAAAGGGAAAGAGAAAAUGGAAGUGUGUGUAUGGGGAUGUGUGGUGUCGAAGAACUUUUGGGACUUGCCAUAUGGUUUGGACCUUACAUGCUGCAUCUUCCCCAAACAGAGGCAUUCCAAACACGAAUGACCCGUCUCCACCUCUGCCCCUAGUUCCAAACCUGCUUUAUUUGGAAGGAGAGGUAGAAGAAAAUGAAAAACAUGAGGAGGAGAGAAGCCUCGCUCCAGGAACUAUUGCAUUGGCC
rnacentral:lncRNA from 1 species